AGAGUUUGAUCAUGGCUCAGAGCGAACGCUAGCGGCGGGCCUAACACAUGCAAGUCGAGCGCCUGGUUUCGGCCAGGAGCGGCGGACGGGUGAGUAACACGUAGGCAACCUGCCCUCUGGUGGUGGAUAACACGGGGAAACUCGUGCUAAUACAGCAUAUGGUCCACGGAUCAAAGCCGUAAGGCGCCAGAGGAUGGGCCUGCGUCCCAUUAUUUAAUCCUAGUUGGCGGGGUAACGGCCCACCAAGGGUACGAUGGGUAGCUGGUCUGAGAGGAUGAUCAGCCACACUGGAACUGAGACACGGUCCAGACUCCUACGGGAGGCAGCAGUGGGGAAUAUUGCGCAAUGGGGGAAACCCUGACGCAGCCACGCCGCGUGUGUGAUGAAGGCCUUCGGGUCGUAAAGCACUGUCGGGAGGGACGAAGUUCUGACGGUACCUCCCAAGAAAGCACCGGCUAACCCUGUGCCAGCAGCCGCGGUAAUUC
rnacentral:rRNA from 1 species